rnacentral:rRNA from 1 species
ACUCCUACGGGAGGCUGCAGUGGGGAAUAUUGCACAAUGGGCGAAAGCCUGAUGCAGCAACGCCGCGUGAGUGAUGAAGGCCUUCGGGUUGUAAAGCUCUGUCUUUGGGGACGAUAAUGACGGUACCCAAGGAGGAAGCCACGGCUAACUACGUGCCAGCAGCCGCGGUAAUACGUAGGUGGCAAGCGUUGUCCGGAUUUACUGGGCGUAAAGGAUGCGUAGGUGGAUAUUUAAGUGGGAUGUGAAAUAC